rnacentral:rRNA from 1 species
UACGUAGGGUGCAAGCGUUGUCCGGAAUUAUUGGGCGUAAAGAGCUCGUAGGCGGUCUGUCGCGUCUGCUGUGAAAACUCGGGGCUUAACCCCGGGCCUGCAGUGGGUACGGGCAGACUAGAGUGCGGUAGGGGAGACUGGAAUUCCUGGUGUAGCGGUGAAAUGCGCAGAUAUCAGGAGGAACACCGGUGGCGAAGGCGGGUCUCUGGGCCGAUACUGACGCUGAGACGCGAAAGCGUGGGGAGCGAACAGG